GGGUACCGGAAUUCCAGCAGUCGUAAAAUGUGGCUGUGAUUCGAGCUAUUAUACUGUGCUUGAAGCUUCGAACUAGAGCAUGACAGUUUCAUUGUGUAUCAAUUCAACCUCGGAUACUUUUGGGGACGUAUAUCCGAGCUAAUCAAUUGAUCCUUCAAGUGAAAGAUAUUGAUUUUCGUAAAUGUCUUGCCAAGGCAUAUCAGCCAAGGACGGGGUGGAUCGGAUUU
rnacentral:lncRNA from 1 species